rnacentral:rRNA from 1 species
AUGUACAAAGCACUUCUAGACAGGAAUCUGAGGAGACUCCUGAGCCUGCCAUUCCUAUGGAAUAUUAUGAAUGAACACAUGAUGGAAAUCCUGAGGAGGAUGACGAGGAAACUCUUGGUAGGGGCAAGAGACAAAGGACUGCAAAGACCUUUGGUGAUGAUUUCUUCGUGUACCUCGUGGAUGAUACUCCUACUUCUAUCUCAGAAGCGUAUGCCUCUCCAGAAGCUGACUACUGGAAGGAGGCGGUCCGUAGCGAGAUGUAUUCCAUCAUGGCUAACGGGACAUGGGAGAUCACUGAGCGUCCCUAUGGUUGCAAACCAUUGGAAUGUAAGUGGGUGUUCAAGAAAAAGUUUAGGCCCGAUGGUACGAUUGAAAAGUACAAGGCUAGGCUUGUGGCCAAGGGCUAAUGACCAGAAAGAAGAGGAAGAUUUCUUCGAUACUUAUUCGCCUGUGGCUAGACUGACCACCAUUCGAGUAUUACUCUCGUUGGCGGCCUCGCACGGUCUUCUCGUCCACCAGAUGGAUGUUAAGACGGCUUUUCUGAAUGGAGAGCUAAAUGAGGAAAUCUACAUGCAACAGCCAGAUGGCUUUGUGAUAGAUGGUCAGGAAAGGAAGGUGUGUAAGUUGCUGAAAUCUUUAUAUGGCCUGAAGCAAGCACUUAAGCAAUGGCAUGAUAAGUUCAAUACAACUCUGACAUCUGUUGGUUUCGUUGUUAAUGAGGCUGAUAAAUGUGUAUACUAUCGCCAUGGUGGGGGCGAAGGAGUUAUACUGUGCUUGUAUGUUGAUGACAUACUGAUAUUUGGAACAAACCUCAAAGUCAUUGAGGAGGUCAAAUCGUUUCUAUCUCAGAACUUUGAGAUGAAAGACCUUGGUGUGGCUGAUGUUAUCUUGAACAUUAAGCUACUGAGAGAUAAUGAGGGUGGGAUCACACUUCUGCAAUCCCAUUAUGUUGAGAAGGUGUUGAGCCGUUUUGGAUAUUCGGACUGCAAACCAUCUCAAACACCAUAUGAUCCUAGUGUGUUGAUCCGAAAGUUCGAAGGCACAGCUAAGGAUCAACUGAGAUACUCUCAAAUCAUUGGUUCACUCAUGUACCUAGCAAGCGCAACGAGGCCUGACAUCGCAUUUGCUGUGAGCAAACUGAGCCGGUUUGUUUCCAAACCGGGUGAUGUACAUUGGCAUGUUGUUGAAAGAGUUAUGCGCUAUCUGAAAGGUACUAUGAACUAUGGACUUCACUAUACCGGAGACCCGUCGGUACUUGAAGGGUAUAGUGAUGCGAAUUGGAUCUCUGAUGCUGAUGAGAUGAAGGCCACAACUGGGUAUAUGUUUACUCUUGGAGGUGGCGCUGUUUCCUGGAAGUCUUGCAAGCAAACGAUCUUAACGAGAUCGACAAUGGAAGCAGAAUUAACAGCAUUAGACACAUCUAGUGUCGAAGCAGGAUGGCUUCGUGAUCUUUUGAUGGACUUGCCAUUGGUUGAUAAACCGGUCCCGGCUAUCCUUAUGAACUGUGACAAUCAGACUGUCAUCACCAAUGUGAAGAGUUCAAAGGACAACAUGAAGUCCAAUAAACACAUAAGAAUGAGAUUAAAAGCUGUCAGAAAAUUAAGAAACUCCGGAGUGAUAGCGUUGGAGUAUGUCCAUACGGCUAAGAAUCUGGCAGAUCCCUUUACAAAAGGGCUAUCGCGUGUUGUGAUAGAUAGUGCAUCGAGGGAGAUGGGUAUGAGACCCACAUGA